AGACGGUUUAUGGCCGUUGAACUCUCGGCAGAUGUCGCCAGUCGAUAACUAACACAAGUGUCUCAUUCGGUAUUACGAUGUCAAGGUCGCGGUUAGUGGCCCGAAAUAACAACAUGUACUGAUUGUAAUUUUAUUAAUCAUAAAACAAAUAACGCGCGUGUUUAGUCAACUUCUAUUUAAAGGUUAAUAAAACCAAAUUGUACGAUUAAAAAAAACGACGCCGUCGCAAUAAACAUAACAAAAAGUUGUUUCGGAAACUCCGCAGUUGUCAACUGGAAUCAGUCUGGGAAUGCUGCUUUAGUGUUGCAAGAUUCUGACAAAAAGUAUAUAUAUGAAAGUGUGCCGAAACACUUUAAAUGCAUAACUUGAAUCAGCGUUUACAUCAUAGGAUAUAAGUAUGUGUAUAUUUGAGACGGUAACUCGACAAGCAUAGUUUAUAUUAUUAAUAUCGAUAUGGUUGUAUAAGAAAGCACAUCACGUUCGUAAAGCUUAUAAAAACCUUGUCACGUUUCGCAAAAACUGUAAUCGUUCGUGGUACAAAGAGUUAGCAACUGACACAAAAACUAUGUUUUCCCAGGAGCGGUGCUCGUGGACCGUGACGGCCGACUUCUCUCUCGGACGCCGCGCCCGUCUUGCGGAUGUCGAGGCUUCGCUCUCCGUGCUACUCCACUGGAUGCUUUGUAACGUUCGACAAGAACCUUUCUGUAUUAUAUGUGUUUGUUAUUUAAGUGAACCUUAACCAGUAAAAGACAUAAUCGGUCCAACUUCUGUUACUUACUUUAAAACUAUAAGUAUGUAAUCUAAUUGAGACCGAGAAUAUUAUUAAUCUUUUAAACGACGCGAAGCCCCUGAUGUAAGACGAGUAUUACAUCGAAGUUAUUUAAUGAAAAUUUCGAUUGCUCAAGUAAAAACUGGAUCCGUUCUACAAAACAAUACAAAUUGUUUGUGUUGCGACAUUUCUUUAACAGACUUCAUAUAACUGAUUUCCCUUUAUGUUGCGCAACUCCUGGACCUGACGACGUUACGUGGGCCUUCGGGGAAUUAUUACUUUAUUUAUCAUCGAAUACAUUAUGAUGGAUGAAUAUAACACACUCUGAUUUAAAAAUAAAAUAAAACGCUAAGAAAAACAAACAAUCAGCUAGUAAUUAUAGACAUUUAAGAUGAGGUAAUCAUAACACAACCUCCAGUUGGCUCAGUCGCACAAUAAAAUGUACUAUUUCAAACCAAUAAUUAAAACAUUACACAAACAGAAAUGAAAGCUAUUCACUUAUAUAUAAUAAAGUCGUGAGAGCCGCUUCAGGAGGUUGCAUAUUGAACUGGUGCCAGUGAUCGUGUUGGUCAUGAAUCACGCAUCAGUCCACAGAUGCUGGCCGUCCUCAUGAGGUGAAGGCCUGAAAGUGAAAGUCUACCUCCUUCUGCAACACUCUCUGUGUAGCUCCUGGGCCCUGGCGUGUCCUGAUGUGUUGGACUAUACUUUACGUGGUACGCCUUCCGUCCCCUGUAUAUGGACGACAUCCGGGAUCGGCGACCGGACACUCCGGUAUAUCGACACGUUCAAAUGACCCACGACGAGAAAUAUUAGGACACCGGAGAGAGAGAGAGAGAGAGCCUCUGCACGUACGAACAGACGAGUCACAGGACACGUUAUUUAUGAACGAUUAAACUUUUUAGUAAUCAAUACCAUUCUCAAACUUAUAGACUUCAAUAAACUAAAUAAAAUAUGAAAAUAAUAAGGACAGGAGUUUAUCACUGCAUGGAUAUAUUAAUUACUUCUUAAAAUAGCAAAGGUGUUGAAAUUUAUCAAUAUAUUAUGAUGAUUUAUCGAAUGAGUCAUUCCAUCGCUUAGAUACAACUAGUGUCGUGCAAAAUAUAUACAUCAGUAGCAACAGUUAUCUCGAACGGAAAGACUAUAGACUAUAGAGACACUGAGACAUCUCACACACAAACACACGAUGGUGGUGUUGAAACGACUGACGGAUUAGUACAGCACAGAGUGAUCUAUAAUAAUCUAUUAGCAUGUUCACAAGUCAUCGUAAUGAAGACAUGUUCAUUCUUAGAUCACACUUUGCUAUCAGAAUGCUCUGCCUAUUGUGUACUGUGGACCAUUUUAUGAACGUUGAUAAUUGUAGCUAAAAUUGCCAAAAAUAUAUAUAUCUGUAUAUUUCUUUGCUCCAGAUAUUGGCGGUCUUGCAGCACGAGGAUUGUGAACCGUUUAGAUCAUUUGUCACAUAUGUAAAAGCCAUUGGGGAUGUGAAAUAAUUCUAAAGUAUAUUUUUAUUAAAGUAAUUGAUAAAGUACUAGCAGACCUUGUAACAGACGGACGGACGCAUAUACACACAUGUUCGUCAUUGAUCACUCAUGCGUUCCUCGGAUGAACUUUCUGAAAGUUGAAAGUAGAGAUGUUGAGGGAACGCGAUACACGAGACGAUGAAACUCCUCUCGCUGGAGAGGAACACACAACACACGCUGAUAUAAAACACUCCUUCAAUUAUGAACCAAAGGCGAACCUGACCCCGGACGGUUCACAGCGAGGAGUCGGACGGUAGGAGGGAUAUAAACAUUUUAACUCAUAGUAUUAUAGUCAUAUUUUUAUCAAACUGACUGUAAAUUAAAUUUUUUUCGGACGCUCGACUUCUAUAAACCUUAUAGAUAAGUGUACAUAACUCGGUGCCAUGUUAGUGUUUAUAUCGUUUGAUAAAAAACUGCUCCAAAAUAUUGACAACACGUACUAUGGAAUAGAAAUAAUAGUUUUACUGUUAGCUAUGUGGUUAGUGGUUACUGAACAUUAUGCACGUAUGGACGUCAGAUAAAACUGGAAGACAAGAAGUCCGCUUGCAGGUGCCUGUCCAGCUCCUGUCCAUAAGUUUUUCAUUCUAUAUUCUCUACUUUUAUUCAAGUAUUAAGGUAUUUUUUUUUAAGUUAUUAGAGGUCUAAAAUUGAGAAAGAGGAAGCGAGAAGACACAAGUAGUAGUGGCUCCUUCAGAAAGGAAGCUGAUAAAUGUGAAGAUAAUCAGCUGGGAUAUCCAGCUGAUCCAGCUUGAACAGUAUAUUUGUUACUAUCAAUAUUAUUUCACUGCAAUUGGAAAGAAAUAACUAUUUUUCACGCUUUCAGAUAAAAAUUUAAUCUCACGCUCGUAAUCAAAACACGUAUCUUUUGAGCAAAACUAAACGAAAAGCAAUUCAAAGUUGAAUCGCUUUCAUUUCUAUAUAAGGUGAGUUUAAAACUCAAAUAUUUUUAUCGAAUAAAAACCGUCCGCCCUCGAUUUUAAUACCAAACUCGUUAAAAAACUGAAUUAAAAUUAAAUACAGCCACAAUCAAAGGUAUCUCGUCAGAGAGCGUUCAUGAAUUUAUAGAAAAAUAUGACAACAGACGGUGAAAGUAAUUUAAUAAUUAUAUUGGAGCGAUUCCAAUAAGUGGAUCAUGUGAUGUUGAAAAUUGUUUUAAAAUUCAAAUGAGUAUUUGGAUAUGUGAAGCCUAUUAAAGUAAGAUUAUCACGGCCCACUAACACUAAACCAUCUAGAGUCCAAAAUAGGUUUAAUACAAUGUGUUGUGUUCCAUUGAACAACAUCCAGUCAAACAUCGCACGAACAAAAUGAUGUUUACAAUCUGAAAUAGCGCUAUGUAAACUCAGUGAGCCCGCUUGUGGAACACAAAACAUCCAUAUGAAGCAUUUACAGCCGAGACUAUCAAUAAAUACCAAUGAUACAGAAUAACACGAACUAUGAGCCAGCGCGAUCACUGACGGAGCUGUUCCUAGACAUCUCCACCUCGCCUUACAGUUGGGGCUGCUGAAGAAAUCACUAGGAAGCAACCAGUGAGAGGAAACCACAAGUUGGACCAGAUGCUUCAGUUCAACAUUCAAUACAUCCAGAUCAAAGUGUGCGGACAAUUAACUACUUUCACAGCUUGACGGAAGGCCGAGAAAUAUCUAGACCUCGGCUUCACUAAGGUGACGUUGCGGUUCAUUUGGAAGAGCAUUUCACGCGACCCGUCCCCUGAAUGAGAAAGAUAGCAAAUUCGCUCAUACGCCGGCUACCCAAUCCUAAGGGAUCAAGGGAGGAAAUUUGCAAACCCUUCUAAUUGCUUACCUUUAGCCAUUAGACACGGAGGUUUUCCAUCAACUCGGCAGCUGGCUGAUCAGGGGCCGCUGAGGUCAAAAUGUCGUUGAUGCAAUUCUGCUCCACUUGGGACACUUUGAAGGACUAUCCGGCAUAUCGGUGUCAGCAGUGAGCGUAGAGUUCAGAGUACAGAGAUCGGACAAGAUCUCUCCCCACCAACAUUUCUCGCGAUAAUAGUGGCGAAGGUUGGAAGGUUGGAGGGUAGCAAUCUCCUUCUACGAGUCGGUUAUGCUUCAGAGGGAGACCACUGAGCGGGACCAGGAGUAAAACCAAAAUAUCAUUCGCACAUAGUAUAUAGUAAUAACGCUUGCUCACUCUAGACACUGAUCCACGAGACAUUGACGCUCCAAUGACUUAUACAAGACAGAGGAAGAUGAGACAAGGUGCAGCAAGUCAAGGGGACAAGGGAAGAUAUACCAAGACGUAGUACAGAGGCACAGAGCAAUGCAAUGUGUAAUUAAAUAUGAUUCGUAAUUACACUAGGUAUAAUGAUAUACAGUAAAGAAACCCGUUACAGUGUAUAACUGGAUGGAGUGGUUCGGUGGGCAGAGUUUACGUAGUGACACCUCAUACGACGCUUAUACCGUUUCUUAAUCAAUAACCAGCAUUAACACUAUGAGUGAGGAUUUAUGAACGAAAUACUAUUAACGCUCCGUGUGUAGUGUGACGGUGCUACCUUAGAAUGAUGACACAGAACUGUUCCAUUAGGAUAUACGAAUAAAUAAUGAGUGUAGUACGUUCGUUGAUAAUAAAUGUACUCAUUAUUAUUAUUUCUGGUGUCUUGUAACUGUAGGUCAGGUCACAGGGUAGAGCCGUCUGCUCGUCUCACCGACCAGCCAGUCAGCCGAUGACCCCUCGCUAAUUCUAAUCCAAUAUGUGUUUUGUUAUAUGUCACCCCGAAUUAUCCACACGAAACACUGCGGGGUCUUAACGAGUGUUUGAAGCCCUCCUAGUACUAUAUAGAUCGAUAAGACAGCGCUCUGUGACAUCUACGAACCGCAAAUACUUUUUGUCGUUUAUCACUUUAAACAGGAAUGACUGUUGGAACAGUUCUUUAAUAAUUAUAAUUUGUAUGAUUUUAAAAAUAUUGAAGUUAUGAAUUGACUUUGAACCGGGUAUUAUUCGGUAUUGACAUUUGACAUUAGAAUGAAUGUGUUUCUCAUAGAUUUUCUAUAGAAUACCUAUUGUAAAAUUUUCAAAGAUGCUUUGAGCGCAUAAAAUAUGUUCCAAAAUUAACAUCCUCAAAUACGGAUUGAUAUCAAUUUGUAAACGAAAAUAUUGUAACAUUACCCGCAUUCCCAAGUUUCAUGGCAUGGUUUGUACGAAAACGAUUUACGAUACGUUUAAAAGUAAUUGGAAAUGUUAAUAAACAUGCGAUUUGAUUAUAUACGAAAAAUUAAUGUUAUAAUACGUUAGUUUGAAAGUAAUAGAAAAUAAUUUAAGAAUCCCGCUUUUAUUUAAGAAAUACCAACAUAUUGAAUGAGCUUAUUAAAAGACAGUAAAAUCCGUGCACGCCAAUAUAGCGCAACACCACAGCUGUCUAACAAAGUCAAUCCUAUCACUAGUGUUAAGACAGGUCAUUAUGGAAUGUGACAUGGGGUCAUAUUUUUAUAGUUCAUACACCUCUGACCUCAUCAGACUAACUGAUGUAAUCAACGUUCCUAGGAACCUUAUGUACGUUAAUUACCGAGCUGACCUACUUUCAACACUGCACUGCAACACUAACAUCACUUCUUAUUCAGCUUUUAGACUUUUGAUGCAAAAGUGAAUAAUAUGGAUACAAACAGUACAUACAAUUAUAUUGUACAUUAUAUGGAGAGCCCACAGCGCACCCGACUGUGGCAUGAUAACCAUUGAAGUAUUAAAAAUCUAUCGACAUACAGUUCAUUGGCUGUUCCGUUAAGAAUAAUGUAAGAGAAAGAACUAAAGUGAAUUAGAGAACAAAACAAUAAAGUCUGAAUAAUUUUAUAAAAAUAUCAUGGGAUCAUAAGGUUGUUAUUUAACAAAUACGACCAAUCAAAAUAAUUCACAUCAUACAGGAGUGUCACAAAUGAUAGCAAUAUUAUCUUUGUACAUUUGGAUUAACUUUAAAGCAUUGAUAAACAAUCUUUAUCACAUAAUUACU